GUGACGUCAUAAACUUGGCAGCGACGUCAUGUUAGCCCUUCACAAGCCGCGAUGGCUGCUUAUUUUGACACAAUAACACAGACUUUCACAGCGCUUGAGACUUCAUGUAAUAACAGUAUGGUCCUAUGGAUUUCAGUACCAAAACUGAUUUUCUACCGUUUUUCUUCCAAGAAAGUUCUGAACAGCUGAAUCCUGGAUCAGCCUAGAUGUUAUUUCACUGGAUUAUUUAAUGAAUAUUACUCUACUGAGUUACCUGGUUACAUGGAUCAGCUGAGAUGUUAUUUCACUGGAUUAUUUAAUUGGGCAUAUAAUUGGAUAAUUCUGUCCUCAACCUGGAAGAUAUGUUUUAUUCCUAACCAUCUAUAAUCCAUUCUCUUUGAAGUUCAGCCUGUCUGCCCAAAUUCCUUUGGAAAUACAUAGUUAGUCAACCAACAUAGAAACAAUCAAACUUGAAGUCAUCAACCUGGAAGAUAUGUUUUGUUCCUAACCAUCUGUAAUCAAUUCUCUAUGAAGUUCAGACUGUCUGCUCUUCCUUUGGAAAUACACAGUUAGUCAAUCAACAUAGAAACACACAAACUUGAAGUCAUCAACAUGGAAGAUAUGUUUUGUUCCUAACCAUCUGUAAUCAAUUCUCUAUGAAGUUCAGACUGUCUGCUCUUCCUUUGGAAAUACACAGUUAGUCAAUCAACAUAGAAACACACAAACUUGAAGGAUUCUCUAGUGAGAGGUUAUGGAAAUGAUCUAUGUCUACUCUUAGAAUGGUGAAAGACUCUCAGAUUAUGCAAAGACUAACAGAAUAUCCUCUCUUGGAACACUGAAACAAGAAAACCAAACUUAAGAGGAUGGAGGAUUUAAGAAGAACAUAAAUAUGAUUUCCAUCGAAUUUAACCAGUACGAUCAUAGACUGUGGUUUAUAGAGGAUGACAAAGAAAGGACCCAGGAUUGUAUGUUUCACUGUCAGACACUGACUAUGGAUAAAGUGUAAUCAUUUAUCAAACUGAGAUCUAGUCAAAUCAAGUACUGAAAAUAUGAUUUUCUGAUAGCAUGAGCUCUUUAAAAACUAUUUCUCACGGACCUCAAAGUAUCUGAAUGUGACUUUUAUUUUUACCAAUUCAUAUUGAAGACUGUUGUUAUGUAUGGGAAUUACACAUUUAAACCUUUUAUUUUUCAUCUAAUUUUUACAACCCCCUAGAAAUUACACAGAUAUCCAGAUGCUGGAUUUAAUGGUAUUAUUUAACUUUCCUGGAAUUGUAAAUAUAUUUUGUUUGUGUAUGUAUCAUGUUUAAUGUUGAAUUUAAAAUUUGUCUCAAUAGGACCCCCAUAAAGAUGUAAGUGUCCCAUAAUCUGUGAUGCAAUAAUAUCUUGAAUAUUUGUUGUCAUUCCAUAUACUUCAUACUUACUACAUAAAUACUGAUUGGAGGAAUACACUUUGUUGUUUGGGACACUUUAUCAAGGUCAAAGCAUGAGAUUAUUGAGAAGACUACUUUGACAAUAAUUUGUAACUUACAAACUUCACAUCGUAAGUACAUAAAUGAAGAAUGAAUAGGAUGAAUAAGAGAUUUCUUAAGAAAUCUUGGAUCAUGUUUCUCCUGAAUAAAAACCAGUUACUGAGAUAACUGAUAUGAGUCUUGCAAUAACUUCAACAUUUUGUAAUAAGUAUAGAAAAUAUGAUUUUCUGAUAGCAUGGGCUCUUUAAAAAUUAAUUCUCACGGACUUCAGAGUAUUUAAAUGUGACUUUUAUUUUUUGCCAAUUCAUAUUGAAGACAGUUGUUAUGUAUGAGAAGUAUACAUUUAAACCUUUUAUUUUGCAUCUUAUUUCUAUAACCCCCUAGAAAUUAUACAGAUAUUCAGAUGCUAGAUUUAAUGUAAUUAUUACUUUCCUGGAAUUGUAAAUAUAUUGUAUUUGUGUAUAUAUGUAUGUGUAUUGUACCCUAUUUUUAAAUUUAAAACUUGAAAUAUGAUAAAGGUCCCUUAGUAUCCCACAUCAAGAUGCAGUUACCCAGUAAUCUGUGAUGCAAUAUCUUGAAUAUUUUUAUCAUCUCAUAUACUUCAUGCUUACUACACAUAACAGCUUAUAGUAAUACACAUAGUUUUAAAGGACACAUUUGUCAAGGUCAAAGCAUGCGAUUAUUGAGAUAACUACUUUUGAAAAUAAUUUGUAACCUACAAACUUCACAUCAUAAGUUAAGAAUGAAUCGGAGAUUUUCUAUAGAUUUUAAGAUCAUUUUUCUUCUGGGUAAAAGUCAGUUGGUAAGAUUACUAAUAUGAGCU